rnacentral:rRNA from 1 species
CACGUACGGCGCAAGCGUUGUCCGGAAUUAUUGGGCGUAAAGAGCUCGUAGGCGGUCUGUUGCGUCCGCUGUGAAAACUCGGGGCUUAACCCCGAGCCUGCAGUGGAUACGGGCAGACUAGAGGUAGGUAGGGGAGAAUGGAAUUCCCGGUGUAGCGGUGAAAUGCGCAGAUAUCGGGAGGAACACCGGUGGCGAAGGCGGUUCUCUGGGCCUUACCUGACGCUGAGGAGCGAAAGCGUGGGGAGCGAACAGG